rnacentral:tRNA from 1 species
GGCCCCAUCGUCUAUCGGUCAGGACAUGUCCCUUUCAAGGACAAAAGAGGGGUUCGAUUCCCCUUGGGGCCG